UGGGGAAUAUUGCACAAUGGGCGCAAGCCUGAUGCAGCCAUGCCGCGUGUGUGAAGAAGGCCUUCGGGUUGUAAAGCACUUUCAGCGAGGAGGAAGGUGGUGAACUUAAUACGUUCAUCAAUUGACGUUACUCGCAGAAGAAGCACCGGCUAACUCCGUGCCAGCAGCCGCGGUAAUACGGAGGGUGCAAGCGUUAAUCGGAAUUACUGGGCGUAAAGCGCACGCAGGCGGUUUGUUAAGUCAGAUGUGAAAAUCCCCGGGCUCAACCUGGGAACUGCAUUUGAAACUGGCAAGCUAGAGUCUCGUAGAGGGGGGUAGAAUUCCAGGUGUAGCGGUGAAAUGCGUAGAGAUCUGGAGGAAUACCGGUGGCGAAGGCGGCCCCCUGGACGAAGACUGACGCUCAGGUGCG
rnacentral:rRNA from 1 species